rnacentral:rRNA from 1 species
AUGGUCGCGCUCGCGCAGCCACCUUCCGCGGUCAAGGGACCCAAAGGAGAGGCGGAGAGGAAACAGAGCGACGCACAGGGAAGAGGAGGAAACGGCGGCGGCGGUGCAGGUGGCGGGGGUGGAGGUAGAGGGAAGAAGCGGAAGAACAAGGAGGUUUUCAUCUACGGAAACUACAGGAACUACUACGGCUACCGAAUUGAUCGUAACGUUGGUGAAGAUCCCCGCCUUGAGAUAUUCAAGAAGGAGUGGUUUGCAGGCAAGGAUUGUCUCGAUAUUGGAUGCAACCAAGGUUUGGUCACAAUCGGUCUAGCGAUGAAGUUUGUGUGCCGAAGCAUCCUUGGAGUUGACAUCGAUAAAGGUUUGAUUGAAACUGCUAACUGGAAUUUAAGAAGGAUAUCUCGAACAGGCAACGUGGCUCCGGAAAGUGCCAAGGUUCAUAACUCGUCAGACUCCACAACUCAGAGCUGUCGAGAAGAAGUGGUAUCUGAGAUGCCAAAUGGAAAUAUUUCUAAACACGAACAACCUGAUCUUUUUGAAAUUGUCUCUUUUCGGUCUGAAAAUUUUGUCCAGAGCACACACAGAUAUACAGAACAGUAUGACACCAUCAUGUGUUUGAGCGUGACAAAAUGGAUCCACCUGAACUGGGGUGAUGAUGGCAUAAUCACUUUGUUUGUGAAGAUAUGGAGUCUUCUAAGACCGGGAGGGAUUUUUAUCAUGGAGCCUCAACCUUGGACCUCGUAUAGGAAAAACAGAUUAGUGUCGGAGGUUGCCAAAGAAAACUUCAAUGAUAUCUGUAUAUAUCCUGAGAAAUUCCGGGAGAUACUUCUGGACAAGGUAGGAUUCAGGUCAGUAGAGGUGAUUACCAACAGAUUGGUUGGUUCUGUCGCUGGUUUUGAUCGCCCAAUUGAAGUUUACCACAAAUGA